rnacentral:tRNA from 1 species
UCCCUAGUGGCUCAGAUGGUAAAGAAUCUGCCCGCAAUGCAGGAGACUCAGGUUUGAUCCCUGGGUGGGGAA